UUUGUGUGCGGUCCUGGAGGGAGUGGGGAUCCCCUGUGGUUUGUGGAGGAUGGGGAUGGCAAGGUCAGAGCUGAGCUUUAGGAAAUCAUUUUGGAUGCUUCACGGAGGAGAGAGACUUAGGCAGGCAGCCCCCUCCCCUCCCCCGUAGUGGGCCGAGCCGGAGGGGACGCAGGUCCGCCUCAGGCGGCCAGUGGCGGAGAAGCGGCCGCUCCAGAGCUGGAAAGGGCGAGAGCUCGGAUGGGGGAAGGGGGGGGAAAGGGGGGAACCUGAAGGACUGGAAGGUGGGGGCGCCCUCUGGCCAGGUCAGGGAAAGGCGGUGACACAGGUUUGGAAAGACGCGAGUCCUCGGCACGCAGAGGCGCGGUACAUCCGCGGGGGCGCGGACGGGAUCCCCCAAGGGAAGGAGGAGACGGGCCGCGCCACAGCUGGGAGUUGGACGCCGGCUUCAGCAAAGGAGGCCGAGAAGGAGCGGUCAGGGCGGCCGGCGGGACCCCGGAGAGCGGGGCGGUCUGGAGCCUUGGACUCGAUGCCGUAGCUCCUGGCGGCUCAGGCCUUCUGCCAGCCGGCCAAGGGGCCGAUGGGGUUCCCCUUGUGUAGUUCUGCAAUCCCCGCCCAAGGGCCCCAUGUCACAGCGGCUCCGAGCCGGGCGCUCAGGGGUGCGCAGGGUCUCAGAAGAACGUGCCCCAGUUCUACCGGGACGAGGGCCUCCCUAGCCGGCCUCCGGCCGCCAUCCCCGGCACUCUCCUCCCCGCCCCUUUGCUCCCAUGCGUGUGUUGUCCGUCUUCGAGGGCUCGAGGGUUUCAUUUGUCGAAUACUUGACGGUUUGCAUUACUCAGGCCCCGCCCCGCCCCCGCCCCCAUUUCUUCUCAGCUGUGACUCGGGCUGGUCUCGGCCAGGGCACGAGCCACCAGGUGGCACCAGAAGCUGCCCCCGCUCCUGCAGGCGGCCCCACCUCUUGCCUCAUAGCUCUGGACAAUUCCUUGAAAACUGCGUGUUGAAACAGAAGUCAUCUUGAAGAGGCCCGGCCCGGAAGUCCGGAGGACCCGAGUUCAAAUCUGCCCUCAGACACUCCACACGUCCUGGCUGUGAGACCCUGGGCAAGUCACUUCACCCCCACUGCCUCAGCCAAUUCAGACAAGGUUAUCUUGGACCUAGGGCACGUAACUGUUCAGUUGUGCCCGACUCUUCGCGACUCCCGUGGACCAGAGUACACCAACCUGUGUGAAGUUUUCUUGGCUUUUUCCUUCUCUAGUGAUUUAAGGUAAACUGAGUCACACCAUCAGUGUCUAAGGUGGCCCCGGAACAAGUCUCUGUGACUCCGACGCCUCCUGCAGUACGGAAAGGGGCAGGUAGAAUUCCAGCCUGACCGUUCCCUGUCUCCGGAAAGCGCCAGGGGCUGUAGCCCCAAUGUCCCGGUUCCCUUCCUGGCAGAGCCUCUCGGGGAAGGGUGGGGAGAGAAGCCAGAGAUGUCCUCGGGGGCCGCGGCCCCUCCGUGUUGGCGAGCGGCAGCCGCCCCGCGCGGGAGACAGGCCACAAUCUGACCAGUCGUGGACUCGCUUUGUGUCCGUUUCUCCGCUCCCCUUGAAAGUGCUCCUGCUGGGGGUGCGGGGUGGAUACAGCCAUCCAACGGCUCCACCUCUGGGGUAUCAGUGGGAGCUGCGUGGCCCCAAAGAACGCACUUACUCUGCCUCCAGAUCCCUCCCUAUCAGUGCCAGCAAGUAAAAUGCGACCAUCUUUCCCGGCCCCUGAGGAUCACGGAUGCUGACCCUGCCCAGGGCGGUCAGGGGAGAGCUCCCGGACGCCCGCCCGGCCAGUCUCCUCCUCUGCGUCUCUGGCCACUCCCCAAGUCGGAGCUGGAAAGUGAGGGUUAAAGGGCAGAGCGGGAGCACUCACAUCCCCCAGGGAUCCGGAGCCCGAGGACCAGCUCCGUCACCCAGACUGCCAGAGGAGGGAAGGCACGGGAAGGGGGGGAGCCCGGGCACCCGGCGCAGAGCCCCCUCCUCCAUCCCACCUGUCCCCACGUUCGCUUAAAGCCUGACGGGGGGCGCUGGCGGGAAGAGCAGCUGCUCUGUGACCCCCAAACACACCCCGUCUCUUCUCCCCCCCAUCCUCGGGUACAGCGGGGGAGGAGCCAGGAGCAGCUUAUAAAGACAUCUUUAUUAGAUUUCUUUUGUCACAUCAAA